AAAACUACUCGGCUCAUCUGGGUUACUUGCUUGGUCUCUUCUGCUGUGAAGUGAGCAACCUCUGUGCCAUGAUGCACUACUUCACCACAGACCCAGAAACACGGAGCACGAUGACCAUGAACUAAAAAUGCUGAAAAUAUGCUCAGAGGAAGAAAGAAAACACAUUCUCAAUGAUGAACUUCACACUGGUAUUCCCAUGAGAGAGAGAGGCCCUUUUCUCUCUCUGGUCCCCCAAACAGCCAAAACUUGUUUCCAUCAUUAGGAGAGAAGCUUGGGCCUCCUCUGCUUACCCAGGAUGCUGCCAAAGGUUUACGUGCCUCCGGCUCUCAGAAACCCUAAGACGAAGACCAAUGACUACCCUUAGCACAUUUGUGGAAGAAGACUGACUCAUGCCAGCCAACAAGUAGAAGAAUCUGAUAUUCCAGAAGAUUCAAAUGAAGAAUGAAUGGAUGUCCAGCUUCCUGGCAAUAAGUGGGAACAAGCAACCAAGCACUUCUAAUUCUGCAUGGAUGGAGGAUGAAAAGAACCACACUUUCAAAGGAAGCUCAGCAGGCAGAAGCCUCCCUUCCACCUUCUCUGAACAGCCUGUGGGGUCUGUGAAGAGCCGGACUGCAGCACCAGUCAGCGCUGGGAAGAAAGUUAAGAGCCAUAGCCAGGACUGCUCUCUUCUCCAUACUCAGCAGUCACGGGGUUAAAGGCUUCUGCUCCCAUGAGACUGUAUGUUGCCAGGACCUUCAAACAUCCUAUCAAAAGCUCCACACUGAACAAGUUAUGGAGAUGACUGGUGCUGAUUAUCAUACGCCAGUGGGUAUAGACUCAAUGCUACUGAAAUGUGCACUGAAAAAGUGGUCUUGUCAAUAUCCUGAUGCCUGAGGAUAGGAACCAAGUUAUCGGAGGGGAGAAACAUUCAGCUGGAAGUGAGCCUUCCUGGGGAGGCAGACAACUGUAAAGCCAUGGCAAAGCCAGUGACGGGCGUCCUCUCAAAUGGUCCCCAACACUGCAUUUCAGAAGAGUUCACUCCUUACAGAUUUGACUUCUGAACAUACCUGGAGG